ensembl:lncRNA
AAUGUAGUCACCUUUGGAAACUACCUCAGAGAAAUAUAUAACUAAGACAAAUAAGUAAAAAUGAUUUCUAAGGAGGAAAUUAAAUCAGGGAAGGGUGUAGAAAGUAUGAGUUUGGGGAUGGAGUUGCAAUUUUAAGUAGGGUGUCUAGGGAAGGAUUCCUUGAGAAAGUUAUGUUUAAAUUAAGACUAGAAGGAAGUGAGGAUAAGUGAGGCAAGAAACAUUCCAGGCAGAGGAAACAGUAAGUGCAAAGGCCCUGAGGCAGGAACAUGCCUGGCACAUUCAAGACAGCAAAAAGUUCAGUCUAUCUGAAGCCAAGUGAGUGAUGCGGUCUCAAGAAUAGUGUGAGAUAAAGUCAAAGAGGAUACUUCUGUCUGCUCUGCUGAGUGUAGACAAUAGGAAGCUAAAUAGACGGAGGGAGACCAGUUGGAAGACUACUGUAAUACUGCAGGCAAGAGAUGAUGCUGGCUUGGAUUAGGGUGGAAACAUCAGAGAUGGUGAGAGGUAGUUGAUUCUGGAUAUAUUUUGAACAUAUAUCCAACAAGAUUUGCUGAUGAAUUGGACAUAAAGUGCAGAGGAAGGAGAGAAGCCAAAGAUGAUUUCAAGAUUUUUGAGCCGAGCAACUGGAAUGACGGUGUUGGCACCCACCAGAUGAAGAAACCUGAGAAGAUUAGGAUUGGGACAGAAUAGUGGAAAGUCAUGUUAUGUUUGGAAUGACUGUUAGACUUCCAAGUGUAGCUAUUGAAUAUGAAGUGGAACACAUAACUGCACGUGUACGUGUGUGUAUAUGUAUACACGCACACACUUUUAAAUGCUUAGAAAAGUUUUGGAAAUACGCAUUAAAAACUGUUAACAGUGGCUACCUUGGGAUAAUAGGAAUCUUUGGAAGUGGCAUUGGGAUGUGAGAGGAGGGAGUAAUACGUAUCUUUUGUUUGCUUUUUAAAUUUAAUACUGUUCCACACCACGUAUUAUACAUAUAUGAGAAAUACUUACCAAAGUCACGUACUAAUGAACAAUGAAGUGACUGUCUAAAGAGCAGACAUUUUUAAAAUAAAGUUACUGGUAAACGCUGAAUGGAAAAUAAUAAUGACAGCUCUACAGAACGUUCAUUCAAUGCCUCUGAAGUAUGCUCCUAAGGCCAUCAUUAUGUGUUGGGUACUGUAUUCGGUGCUAAGAAUACAAGAAGAAAACACAUAUCUUUUCCCUCAUGAAGAUUAUAUUCUUCCAGAGAAAUGCCACACUGUAUUUUAAAUUCUGCAUAACUGUUCUAAUGAAGUACCAGAGAUGCCAUGGGAAGAGGAAUUUGGAGGUGGCUGGAAGUAUCCAUUUCUGGAGAUUAUGAAAUUUGCUAUUAUUACUUGGAAAAAAAAUUACCUUUAGUUCGACAAAGGUGAGGAGAGAACCAGAAAGUCAUCACCAUUCAGAAUCACAAAGGGCAGGCAAUGGAAAAAGUUGCAAGUUUCAGAAAAGAUGAGCCGUCUCAAUGUGUAAGAAGAUCUUUCUUAGAACUGGAACUUACGAGAAAUCAGACUGAAUGUUCUCAAAACAAACAGCCUUAAAAAAAAAACAGAACAGCCAGAUAAAAAUUAUGUCAAAUAGAGGCUGGGUAUUGAUGGAUAUUAUGGGUUGGGGAAGUGGGUCCUACCUCUGGAAGAAGGUUGAAGGAGAUUUCCUUAGAGGUUCUUUUCUAGUCUAGGGAACUUAAAACAAGAACAGUAAUUGUGAAGUUAUAUUUUCUCUAGAGAAAGAUUUCUCAACAACCAAAUGCACCCAAGAUGCUAAUAUUCUAUUUAUAUUUUAUAAUUAUUUAAACAAUGAUCUAAAACCCGAGAGGAGUAAAGAAAACAAACAGGCCUUGUUAAUUACUGAAGCGAGAAUUAAAGUACAGCCUUUACCAGAUAUUCUUUUGUCUGCAGCUCAGUAGAAAUCUUCCAUUCACUGGUUAAAUGUCUGUCAAAUUUUACAG